rnacentral:rRNA from 1 species
CUAAUACAUGCAAGUCGAACGAACCGCGACUGAGUGCUUGCACUUGGUCAAGGUGAGUGGCGAACGGGUGAGUAACACGUGGGUAACCUACCUCAUAGUGGGGGAUAACAGUCGGAAACGACUGCUAAUACCGCAUAGGACAUGGAAUCACAUGAUUCUGUGAGGAAAGGUGGCGCAAGCUAUCGCUAAGAGAUGGACCCGCGGUGCAUUAGCUAGUUGGUAGGGUAAGGGCCUACCAAGGCGAUGAUGCAUAGCCGACCUGAGAGGGUGAUCGGCCACAUUGGGACUGAGACACGGCCCAAACUCCUACGGGAGGCAGCAGUAGGGAAUCUUCCGCAAUGGACGCAAGUCUGACGGAGCAACGCCGCGUGAGUGAAGAAGGUCUUCGGAUCGUAAAGCUCUGUUGUUAGAGAAGAACAGCGCAUAGAGUAACUGUUAUGCGUGUG